rnacentral:rRNA from 1 species
UACGAAGGGGGCUAGCGUUGCUCGGAAUCACUGGGCGUAAAGCGCACGUAGGCGGAUUGCUAAGUCAGGGGUGAAAUCCUGGAGCUCAACUCCAGAACUGCCCUUGAUACUGGCGGUCUCGAGUCCGGGAGAGGUGAGUGGAACUGCGAGUGUAGAGGUGAAAUUCGUAGAUAUCAAGCGGAACACCGGUGGCGAAGGCGGCCUUCUGGACAGUGACUGACGCUGAGACGGACGAAAAGCGUGGGGGAGCAAACAGGAUUAAGAAACCG